rnacentral:rRNA from 1 species
GACGAACGCUGGCGGCGUGCUUAACACAUGCAAGUCGAACGGAAAGGCCUUUUCGGAGGUACUCGAGUGGCGAACGGGUGAGUAACACGUGGGUGAUCUGCCCUGCACUCUGGGAUAAGCCUGGGAAACUGGGUCUAAUACCGGAUAGGACCGCACUUUAGUGUGUGUGGUGGAAAGUUUUUUCGGUGUAGGAUGAGCCCGCGGCCUAUCAGCUUGUUGGUGGGGUAAUGGCCUACCAAGGCGGCGACGGGUAGCCGGACUGAGAGGUUGGUCGGCCACAUUGGGACUGAGGGACGGCCCAGACUCCUACGGGAGGCAGCAGUGGGGAAGAUUGCACAAUGGGCGCAAGCCUGAUGCAGCGACGCCGCGUGGGGGAUGACGGCCUUCGGGUUGUAAACUCCUUUCGCCAGGGACGAAGCGUUUUGUGACGGUACCUGGAGAAGAAGCACCGGCUAACUACGUG